rnacentral:sRNA from 12 species
AUUGACCGAUACCGAUGGCUGGUCACCAACCAGUGGGAUUCUCCUGCAUUGCAGGCGGCUGUACAGAGUACAUCACCGUUCCCCAACACCUCAACACAAUCGCUCUCUGGUGCAAAGGUAUCGUCAA